AUUGAACGCUGGCGGCAGGCCUAACACAUGCAAGUCGAACGGUAACAGGAAGAAGCCUGCUUCUUUGCUGACGAGUGGCGGACGGGUGAGUAAUGUCUGGGAAACUGCCUGAUGGAGGGGGGAUAACUACUGGAAACGGUAGCUAAUACCGCAUAACGUCGCAAGACCAAAGAGGGGGACCUUCGGGCCUCUUGCCAUCGGAUGGGCCCAGAUGGGAUUAGCUAGUUGGUGGGGUAACGGCUCACCAAGGCGACGAUCCCUAGCUGGUCUGAGAGGAUGACCAGCCACACUGGAACUGAGACACGGUCCAGACUCCUACGGGAGGCAGCAGUGGGGAAUAUUGCACAAUGGGCGCAAGCCUGAUGCAGCCAUGCCGCGUGUAUGAAGAAGGCCUUCGGGUUGUAAAGUACUUUCAGCGGGGAGGAAGGGAGUAAAGUUAAUACCUUUGCUCAUUGACGUUACCCGCAGAAGAAGCACCGGCUAACUCCGUGCCAGCAGCAGCCGCGG
rnacentral:rRNA from 1 species